GCCCGCAUAGCUCAGUCGGUAGAGCAUCAGACUUUUAAGACUCUUUCUAAGAAGGAAUCUGAGGGUCGUGGGUUCGAGUCCCCCUGUGGGCG
rnacentral:tRNA from 1 species